AUGAAUUCUGAUAUGUCGCAUGUUAUUGAUGAUGCCACUUCUGCUAUGCAUGAUACUUAUGAUGAAACUACUUCUAUGCUUGAUACUACUGUGCCAUUAGGUGAAUUUCUUGAUGAACAACUUGCUAGGGUUAGAGAGAAUGAAAUUAUUGAAGAUAGUGAUGAUGAAGGUUCUCCCCCUAAGUAUGAAUUGCCUGCUAUUCCUGAGGGUUACGUUAUGGAUGAAGAAACUACUAGAUAUUUUCUUGCUUGCAAUGAUAGAUUAGAUCUUAAGAAGUUAUUAGCUAAACUUAAACAGAAAACUCUGAAUGCUAGAAUGAAAUAUGACCCUGCUUUUGCUACUUCAUCUAUCUUUGUUACUGAUAAGGAUUAUGAAUUCUCUGUUGAUCCUGAGAUAAUUACUUUGGUUGAAUCUGAUCCUUUUUAUGGCUAUGAAUCUGAAACUGUUGUGGCACAUCUUACUAAGUUAAAUGAUAUAGCCUCCCUGUUCACUAAUGAUGAGAAAUCUCGCUACUAUUAUAUCCUUAAGAUAUUUCCAUUCUCAUUAAAGGGUGAUGCCAAAACUUGGUUUAAUUCUCUUGAUCCUGGUUGUGUGCGUAGUCCCCAGGAUAUGAUUUAUUACUUCUCUGCUAAAUAUUUCCUUGCUCAUAAGAAACAAGCUGCUUUAAGGGAAAUAUAUAAUUUUGUGCAAAUCGAAGAAGAGAGUCUCCCACAAGCUUGGGGGAGGCUUCUCCAAUUACUUAAUGCUUUGCCUGAUCAUCCUAUUAAGAAAAAUGAAAUACUUGAUAUCUUUAAUAAUGGACUAACCGAUGCUUCCAAGGACCACUUGGAUAGUUGUGCUGGUUGUGUUUUCAGGGAAAGAAUAGUCGACCAAGCUGAAUUGCUAUUAAACAAUAUGUUGACUAAUGAAGAUAAUUGGACUCUCCCUGAGCCAAUUCCUGAGCCAAUUGAGCCAGCUCCUGAGCCUAUUCCUAAACCAAUUCCGAAGAAGAGGGGAGUUCUAUUUCUCAGUCCCGAAGAUAUGCAAGAGGCAAAGAAAUAUAUGAAAGAAAAAGAGGAAGAAAUAUAUUUAGGAAAAAUGUACCAAUGUGGUUCUUCAACAAAUAAAGGACCCAGGCGCCCUAUGCGUGAGCAAGAUGAUGAACCACCAAGGGAAGCUGAUGUGCGGCCUUGUGAAUGGCCGUCAGAAGAAUUUAUGGUCAAUGCAGGCAUCAAGGAUGAAUUUGAUGCAUAUGUGCGUAAUGUCGAUCUUGAGGACUUCAUGCAAGAUAAGUGUCCUCAGUACUACCAAUUGACUGAUUCAUUUGUGAGAAGGUUUAAAUUUACAUCUUCGCGUAAUUCUCAAAGUGUCCUGUUUGAUAUUUAUGAUCAAUCUUAUACCAUGGACUUAGAAGAUUUUACUACUGCUUGCAAACUUCCUCAGUGGGGUAGUGUUAAUGAACCCUGUAAAUCUGAAUAUAAAGACUUUCUAGCUAGUAUCACUGUGGGAGAAUCCAGGGGCAUAGCAUAA
rnacentral:rRNA from 1 species